rnacentral:rRNA from 1 species
GCCUAAUACAUGCAAGUCGAGCGAACGGACGAGAAGCUUGCUUCUCUGAUGUUAGCGGCGGACGGGUGAGUAACACGUGGAUAACCUACCUACAAGACUGGGAUAACUUCGGGAAACCGGAGCUAAUACCGGAUAAUAUUUUGAACCGCAUGGUUCAAAAGUGGAAGACGGUCUUGCUGUCACUUAUAGAUGGAUCCGCGCUGCAUUAGCUAGUUGGUAAGGUAACGGCUUACCAAGGCAACGAUGCAUAGCCGACCUGAGAGGGUGAUCGGCCACACUGGAACUGAGACACGGUCCAGACUCCUACGGGAGGCAGCAGUAGGGAAUCUUCCGCAAUGGGCGAAAGCCUGACGGAGCAACGCCGCGUGAGUGAUGAAGGUCUUCGGAUCGUAAAACUCUGUUAUUAGGGAAGAACAUAUGUGUAAGUAACUGUGCACAUCUUGACGGUACCUAAUCAGAAAGCCACGGCUAACUACGUGCCAGCAGCCGCGGUAAUACGUAGGUGGCAAGCGUUAUCCGGAAUUAUUGGGCGUGAAGCGCGCGUAGGCGGUUUUUUAAGUCUGAUGUGAAAGCCCACGGCUCAACCGUGGAGGGUCAUUGGAAACUGGAAAACUUGAGUGCAGAAGAGGAAAGUGGAAUUCCAUGUGUAGCGGUGAAAUGCGCAGAGAUAUGGAGGAACACCAGUGGCGAAGGCGACUUUCUGGUCUGUAA